ensembl:misc_RNA Metazoa_SRP Metazoan signal recognition particle RNA
GCUGGGCAUAGUGGUGCAUGCCUCUAGUCCCAGCUACUUGGGAGGCUGAGGUGAGAGGAUCACUCGAGCCCGGGAGGUCAAGGCUGCAGUGAGCCAAGAUCACACCACUGCACUCCAGCCUGGGACACAGAGCGAGACCCUGUCUCAAAAAUAAAAUAAAAUUAAAUAACAUAAAAAUUAGCCAGGCAUGAUGGUACAUGCUGAGGAGGCUGAGACUGGAGGAUCACUUGUGGCCAGGAAUUGGAGGCUGCAGUAAGCUGUGAUCAUGCCACUGCACUCUAGCCUGGGCAACAGAGUGAGACCCUGUCUCUU